GUAUCAUGGCUCAGGACGAACGCUGGCGGCGUGCUUAACACAUGCAAGUCGAACGAGAAUCUACGGAUCGAGGAUUCGUCCAAGAGAAGUAGAGGACAGUGGCGGACGGGUGAGUAACGCGUGAGGAACCUGCCUUCAGAGGGGACAACAGUUGGAAACGACUGCUAAUACCGCAUGACACAUUGGGUCGCAUGGCCUUGAUGUCAAGAUUUAUCGCUGAAAGAUGG
rnacentral:rRNA from 1 species